rnacentral:rRNA from 1 species
GACGAACGCUGGCGGCGUGCUUAACACAUGCAAGUCGAGCGGUAAGGCCCUUUCGGGGGUACACGAGCGGCGAACGGGUGAGUAACACGUGGGUGACCUGCCCUCAGCUCUGGGAUAAGCCUGGGAAACCGGGUCUAAUACUGGAUAUGACUCCAUGACGCAUGUUGUGGGGUGAAAGCCUUUGUGCGGCUGAGGAUGGGCCCGCGGCCUAUCAGCUUGUUGGU